GACGAACGCUGGCGGCGUGCUUAACACAUGCAAGUCGAACGUGAUUUUUGUGGAAAGCCCUUCGGGGACGGAAAUGAAAUGAAAGUGGCGAACGGGUGAGUAACACGUGAGCAACCUACCUUACACAGGGGGAUAGCCGUUGGAAACGACGAUUAAUACCGCAUGAGACCACAAAGCCACAUGGCUUAGGGGUAAAAGAUUUAUCGGUGUAAGAUGGGCUCGCGUCUGAUUAGCUAGUUGGAAGGGUAAAGGCCUACCAAGGCAACGAUCAGUAGCCGGUCUGAGAGGAUGAACGGCCACAUUGGAACUGAGACACGGUCCAAACUCCUACGGGAGGCAGCAGUGGGGAAUAUUGCACAAUGGGGGGAACUCUGAUGCAGCGACGCCGCGUGAGCGAUGAAGGCUUUCGAGUCGUAAAGCUCUGUCCUAUGGGAAGAUAAUGACGGUACCAUAGGAGGAAGCCCCGGCUAACUACGUGCCAGCAGCCGCGGUAAUACGUAGGGGGCGAGCGUUGUCCGGAAUCACUGGGCGUAAAGGGUUCGCAGGCGGUCUAUCAAGUCUGAUGUGAAAGGCAUGGGCUUAACCCAUGUAAGCAUUGGAAACUGAUAGACUUGAGUUAAGGAGAGGUAAGUGGAAUUCCUAGUGUAGCGGUGAAAUGCGUAGAUAUUAGGAAGAAUACCGGUGGCGAAGGCGACUUACUGGACUUAAACUGACGCUGAGGAACGAAAGCGUGGGGAGCAAACAGG
rnacentral:rRNA from 1 species